rnacentral:lncRNA from 1 species
CCCAUCGAAUUUGGACUUAGUAUUUAUGAGAGGUUUAAUUAGUGAUUUGAUCACUAAUUAACUCAAUUUGAUUGAAUAAUUAUUUUUGGAUCAAGUCCAAUUGAAUUGGAUUCAGUUUGGUUUGACCCGAUUAGGUUAAGAGUUGACCUAAUCGUUAAGAUGGUUUGGUCCCUGAUUUGAUCAGGGGUUGGGCUUAGUCAAUUCCUGAUUUGAUUAGGAUUUUAUUGAGCCUAAUUAAGCUUAAUUAAGUUGAAUUUAAAUUAGUCUAUUUGGACCUAACUUAUUUGAUUCAAUUAGGUUGGUUUAAAUAAUUAAACCACCUUGACCCAAUCUCCAUGCGCCACCUCACUUCCAUUGCACCCAUUUGAAUUCAUGAGAAGAAACUUCUCAUGAAUUUUUUCCUCAUGCCAAGCCCUCUCCAUGCCCCACUUUAAUGUGCCAUAUGAAUGGAUAAGGAUGAUUGGUUGGCCAUUCAAAUUCAAAAUAAAGUUUGAAUUUGAAUGGGCAAUCAAUCUUUGCGCCUUAUCCUUUUUUUUACGUCUCAUUUAUUACAUGAGAAAAGAUUUCUCAUGAAAUUAUUUCAUGCACAAUUUAAACCAUGCCUCAUGUCUUUAGUGGAUAAGGGAUGAGUUGGUGUCCAUUUGAAUUCAAAAUUUGAUUUGAAUUCAAAUGUGCAAUUACUCAUCUUUAUCCUUUCUUUUGGAUAAGACGUUUGACGUUGUUAUAAAAGGAGGAGAAGAGUAGGGCGUGCAAGAAGAAGAUUUUUGGAGAAAAAUUUUGGGGCAUGAGAAAGUCUUGUGCGUGAGAAGGAAGUUCAUAUCCUUCCAAGAGAAAAAGAAAGAAAAGAAAAAAAAGUGGGUGCAAGGUUUCUGGUGAGUUCCCUAGAGUUUUAGCUUGGGGUUCGAAAAGUGAGAAAGUGAGCUACGAGUGUCGUGAGCCCAC